rnacentral:rRNA from 1 species
CAGUAGCCGCGGUAAUACGUAGGUGGCAAGCGUUGUCCGGAAUUAUUGGGCGUAAAGGGCCCGCAGGCGGUUUCUUAAGUCUGAUGUGAAAGCCCCCGGCUCAACCGGGGAGGGUCAUUGGAAACUGGGAAACUUGAGUGCAGAAGAGGAGAGUGGAAUUCCACGUGUAGCGGUGAAAUGCGUAGAGAUGUGGAGGAACACCAGUGGCGAAGGCGACUCUCUGGUCUGUAACUGACGCUGAGGAGCGAAAGCGUGGGGAGCGAACAGGAUUAGAUACCCCGGUAGUCCCUGUCUCUUAUAC